rnacentral:rRNA from 1 species
GCAUUCCAGCCUCUGGUCAGUGCUUACCGGUAGCCAAUUCAAAUUCUUUCUUAAUAAUGAAGUCUGAAUCUUAAUUAAAAUUUAAUUAAAACUUUCAACAACGGAUCUCUUGGUUCUGGCAUCGAUGAAGAACGCAGCGAAAUGCGAUAAGUAAUGUGAAUUGCAGAAUUCAGUGAAUCAUCGAAUCUUUGAACGCACAUUGCGCCCUUUGGUAUUCCGAAGGGCAUGCCUGUUCGAGCGUCAUUAUCAACCCUCAAGCCCGGCUUGUUAUUGGGCCCUUAUCGUUAAAGAUAGGCCCGAAAGAUAAUGGCGGCGUCAACAAUGACCCCAGAUGCAGCGAGCUUAUAGCAUACAUCGAAAGGUUUUGUUGCCCCGGCCUUGUUUUGCUUCGGCAAAGAUUUUUCAAAGGUUGACCUCGGAUCAGGUAGGAAUACCCGCUGAACUUAAGCAUAUCAAUAAGCGGAGGAAAAGAAACCAACAGGGAUUGCCUCAGUAACGGCGAGUGAAGCGGCAAUAGCUCAAAUUUGAAAUCUGGCUCUUUCAGGGUCCGAGUUGUAAUUUGUAGAGGAUGUUUCGGACAAGGCUUCGGUUUAAAUUCCUUGGAACAGGAUGUCAUAGAGGGUGAGAGUCCCGUCUUGAACCGUCUGCUGCGUCUAUGUGAAACUCCUUCGACGAGUCGAGUUGUUUGGGAAUGCAGCUCAAAAUGGGAGGUAAAUUUCUUCUAAAGCUAAAUAUUGGCCAGAGACCGAUAGCGCACAAGUAGAGUGAUCGAAAGAUGAAAAGCACUUUGAAAAGAGAGUUAAACAGUAUGUGAAAUUGUUGAAAGGGAAGCGGUUGCAACCAGACUUGUGUGUAACAGUUCAACCUUGGUUUUCCAAGGCCUAUUCUGUUACACCAGGCCAGC